GGAGCGUUGGCAGAGUGGUAAUGCAGCGGAUUGCUAAUCCGUGACCGUGACAUUAGCGGUCCAUAGGUUCGAGUCCUAUACGCUCCGCCA
rnacentral:tRNA from 1 species